rnacentral:rRNA from 1 species
UACGUAGGGUGCAAGCGUUGUCCGGAAUUAUUGGGCGUAAAGAGCUCGUAGGCGGUUUGUCGCGUCUGCUGUGAAAACUCAGGGCUUAACCCUGAGCCUGCAGUGGGUACGGGCAGACUAGAGUGUGGUAGGGGAGAUCGGAAUUCCUGGUGUAGCGGUGGAAUGCGCAGAUAUCAGGAGGAACACCUGCGGUGUAGACGGCUUUCUGGACCAUUGCUGACGCUGAGACACGAAAGCGUGGGUAGCAAACAGG